UGGACGGGUGAGUAAUGUCUGGGAAACUGCCCGAUGGAGGGGGAUAACUACUGGAAACGGUAGCUAAUACCGCAUAACGUCGCAAGACCAAAGAGGGGGACCUUCGGGCCUCUUGCCAUCGGAUGUGCCCAGAUGGGAUUAGCUAGUAGGUGGGGUAACGGCUCACCUAGGCGACGAUCCCUAGCUGGUCUGAGAGGAUGACCAGCCACACUGGAACUGAGACACGGUCCAG
rnacentral:rRNA from 1 species